CUCUGUGGACAGGCAGGGGCACAGGUCACAGCUUCACCUGAGACGCAGACAUACCCACACACACACUCUGUGCUUCACAGGAGCUGCAGCUGCCAUGGACGGGCACGUCUGGAGUUUACCUGAUGACACGCAUUUGACACGAGUCAAACAAAAGGCAUGACAGCAGGGAUUUCAGGACCAGAGACGCAGACUUCAGAGCUCAAGGCCUGAAUGAGUCUGGGCCUGCGGUCCCUGCCCCAGACCAGGGGACGGCCGCCCAGGGCUGUGGGAAGAUCGGUGCUCAGGGAUGGAGCAGAGCCUGGAGCACCCUCAGAUGACCAGGCGCCAGCUUUAACUCCUAGAGUCCCAUCCGUGGGCCAUGAAACUCGGGCAUCACCAGCAGCCGCCUCCCGCACACACGGCAGGCUGCCCUGCUCUGUCACCCCAGUGCCACCCUCCACGGCCUCUAACAACAGCUCCUGGGAGGCACUGUCUAUGUUUUUAAGUGAAGACAUGAAUGUAGAAGUAAAUAAAAUUUUCAGUGCCAAUGUCAGUUUCUGGGUCUUCACAAAGCGCUAGUUACGUCAGCUGUGAGGGCGGCUGGAGGGACGGCAAAGGACUGUGUGCUGCUUCUGCAAAUUCUGUCAAAAUGUAAUUAUUUCGAUUCAUUAAAAGCUUGUGAAACAGUAAUGUAACCUAUUAUAAACAAUUUCAGUACCGCAAACUCAAGUACAGUAAAACAGAGCACUGUGUCUCAGCACCUAGUAUAAUUAGCAUAUAAUACUCUUUGACUUUAAAAAUUAUUUCAGUUAAAGUCAAAGGAACUGUAAUCAGACUUUCUAGGGACAAAUAUCCUGUUUCUGUCAAGGAAUUCGGGUAGAAAACGCCAUUCACUCCUGAUACUCUCAUCCCCUAACGAGUGAGAAAAGUAUUCCCAGCCCUCUGCUACUAAAUUCCCAGGGAAGGAAGAACCCCGAUCCCCCAGAAAGGGUUUGUAUAAGCCAUGAUUUAAGAGAGCGGAAGAGCAAACGU